CUCAGGCAGACCCUGUUGCAGAAGGUAUAGAAACCUUAAAUACUAGGUCAAGUCUUAUCAACUCUUCCAUUCUCUAGUGCUUGCUUGUGCCUCUGACUGGUAAGGAAGGAAACAUUCACCAUCCUUCACUGUUGCUCAAAUUUUGGUCACUAAUUGAUGAGAGCUAGGACAUGAAAUCAAAUCUAGGUCUUGGUAUUCAUUUCAAACAUAUUAGGAGUAUCCAGAGUAAAAAGCCUUUCAGUCACUGUGGUGUAGCUCUUUGUACUUACCCUUUCCUCCCCACAUAAUUUCUGUCUUGCAAUUUUGUCUAAACUGUUCCCCAUCACAUACUUGUUAAAUGUUACAGGACAUGUUAUGUUAUCCGUACGUGAAGAAACAACGCAUACCUCCAAUGUGCAGAGCCUGUGUUUAACUGCCAGGAAAAUAACAAAGGACAAAACCAAGGCUGGAUGGAAGAAAGAGCACGUGGACAGGAUUUCUGCUCAUAAAUCAUGUGACCAAUGCAAAACAGAGCAUGGAAGCCAUUGACCUCUGCACUGCCUUACAAAAGCAGUUGUGUGGACAUGAAGGUCAGCAGCCCUUGAUGGAAAGUUAAGGGAACCCAUCACCGGAGUGACAGCUUCUGGAUUUACUGCACCACAGCCACUGUGAACAGCUUACAGAACUUUAUGGAUCAAUAGCAGGUACUCCCUGAGUGAAAGCUCACCUCUAACACUACCUCAGACAGUUACCAGCUGUAUGUGAGGGGUCGUCACUGGAGGGCUGAGACUUCUGAUCAUCAUUAGCCCACCUAGAAAUGAUACAUCCCAAGUACUGCAGGCAAUGCCAUCACAACCUCCUGCCUGUUGUACUCAACUGCUGUUUAUAUGUAUCUUUAAGCUGGAGAGGGUUCUGUAUACCUUCAACCCCCAGUUAACCCAAGAUAACCUAAGUCCAGCUCUAAACUGGUUGGGACUGUGUUAAUGUCAACAUUCCUUCACUUGAAAAUCAUCCCGUGUUGACCAUGAAAUCUUACCCAACGUUAGUGGGUAUGGGGCAGGUUUUUAGCUGUCUCUAAAUUGUUGUAUCUCUACAGGUGCAUGUAUAAAUGGAAAUAAGGUGGUUUAUUCUUUUGGGGUGACUGGCCCAGCAUCCUUGGUUUUAAAAGUAAAACAAAUGAGGUAAGGGAAUUGGAUCCCUCACAUAACAUUAGCAAUGUCAGUCAAGUUACAUCAGGGAUAACUUCAGCCCUAAAGGUGCAGGGUCACAAUAAGGCAAUCUCCACCACGAGAUCCCCCUGAGAAACUCAAGCAUCUCAUCCGUGGUUAGGAAAUGUACUUUAUUUCUACAGAACAGGCCAUGAAGCCACUCGUGAGCAGAGCAACUCUAGAGAUUCGGGAGAUAUUACAGGAAUAGAGAGAAAAGCCUUUUGCCUCACUACAUGCUCUUUCCCUGGUGUGCAGCCCUAAUUUCAGACCUACUCUAUUUUUUUUUCUGUGUAUAUGGAAAAUCAUACACAGUGAAUGCUUCCCACAAGCUCUAAAUGCAG
rnacentral:lncRNA from 1 species